AAAUAUGAUCGAAAAAGGUUUAUCGCAAGAAGUCAGCAGAUACCAUAGUAGGAAAAAAUUUUUUUCCGAAGGGU
rfam:Clostridium sp. CAG:921 genomic scaffold, scf19